UAAUACGUAGGGUGCAAGCGUUGUCCGGAAUUAUUGGGCGUAAAGAGCUCGUAGGCGGUCUGUCACGUCGGAUGUGAAAACUCGGGGCUCAACCCCGAGCCUGCAUACGAUACGGGCAGACUUGAGUGUGGCAGGGGAGUCUGGAAUUCCUGGUGUAGCGGUGAAAUGCGCAGAUAUCAGGAGGAACACCGGUGGCGAAGGCGGGACUCUGGGCCAAUACUGACGCUGAGGAGCGAAAGCGUGGGGAGCGAACAGGAUUAGAUACCCUGGUAGUCCACGCCGUAAACGGUGGGUGCUAGGUGUGGGGAACUUUCCACGUUCUCCGUGCCGCAGCUAACGCAUUAAGCACCCCGCCUGGGGAGUACGGCCGCAAGGCUA
rnacentral:rRNA from 1 species